rnacentral:lncRNA from 1 species
UUGCAUGCUAUUUAUUUAUGGUUAUUAUGUUUAAAUAACUUUUUACGCUAAUGCUCUUUUGUUUUUGUUUUUCCUUUCCUUCACUGAGCCGAGGGUCGAUUGAAAAUAGCCUCUCUGCCCUUUUGGGUAGGGGUAAGGCCCGUCUACAUAGUACCCUCCUCAGACCCCACUUUAUGGGGCUAUACUGGGUAAUUGUUGUUGUUGUUAUCGCAUCGAGUUUGUAAGGAAAAAUAUGUUCAGAUUCCAAAAUUCUCUUGUGUUUUGCAAAUUAUUAUUUAAUUUUAUAUUAGCUUAUCAUAAAAUUUGCACAGUUCGUCCAGUACAAGUGGAUAUAUUCAAAUUCCUGUAAUUGUAGUUGGAACUUUGAAGCAACUUAAGGACCAAUCUUUAUAGAAAUCAUGUGCAAACAAUUAGUAUUUCUGUGUUUGAAAUCAGAAAAUUAGAGAAAAAAAGAAACGUUACUUCAAUAAACAAUCGUAAAAUAAUUUUGAGCCCAUAAGUUGCUUGUGUUCCCUUAAGGAGUUUAAUCACCUCAUUAUUUCCCAAGGUAAUCCCUCUUCCCAGGAAUAAAACGGAAUAACUAUUCUGUAAUACUGGCAAUCGAAAUUACAGAGCUUCAGCAAACUCAACAAAUGUAGCAAAUUACAUUUGAUACUUUAUUUAUUUGGUAAAAUAAUGCAACAAUGUAGAAAAGAA